rnacentral:rRNA from 1 species
CCUACGGGGAGCAGCAGUGGGGGAUAUUGCACAAUGGGGGGAACCCUGAUGCAGCGACGCCGCGUGAGCGAAGAAGUACCUCGGUAUGUAAAGCUCUAUCAGAAGGGAAGAAAAUGACGGUACCUGACUAAGAAGCCCCGGCGAAAUACGUGCCAGCAGCCGCGGUAAUACGUAGGGGGCAAGCGUUAACCGGAUUUAAUGGGUGUAAAGGGAGCGCAGGCGGCCUGCCAAGUUUGGUGUGAAAACCCGGGGCCCAACCCCGGGCGUGCAGUGGAAACUGGCGGGCUGGAGUGUCGGAGGGGCAGGCGGAAUUUCUAGUGUAGCGGUGAAAUGCGUAGAUAUCAGGAGGAACACCGGCGGCGAAGGCGGCCUGCUGGACUGAAACUGACGUUGAGGCUCGAAAGCGUGGGGAGCAAACAGGAUUAGAUACCCUUGUAGUC